rnacentral:rRNA from 1 species
UGCUUUUGCACAUUGGGUAGGGGAGCGUUCUGUAAGCGGUUGAAGGUGUGUGGUAACGCAUGCUGGACGUAUCAGAAGUGCGAAUGCUGACAUGAGUAACGAUAAAGGGGGUGAAAAACCUCCUCGCCGGAAGACCAAGGGUUCCUGUCCAACGUUAAUCGGGGCAGGGUAAGUCGACCCCUAAGGCGAGGCCGAAAGGCGUAGUCGAUGGGAAACGGGUUAAUAUUCCCGUACUUCUUACAAUUGCGAUGGGGGGACGGAGAAGGCUAGGUGGGCCUGGCGACGGUUGUCCAGGUUCAAGUGCGUAGGCUUAAGAGUUAGGUAAAUCCGGCUCUUUCUAAGGCUGAGACACGACGUCGAGCACCUACGGGUGUGAAGUCAUUGAUGCCAUGCUUCCAGGAAAAGCCUCUAAGCUUCAGAUUGUAAGGAAUCGUACCCCAAACCGACACAGGUGGUCGGGUAGAGAAUACCAAGGCGCUUGAGAGAACUCGGGUGAAGGAACUAGGCAAAAUGGUACCGUAA